rnacentral:rRNA from 1 species
UUAAUUUAACUUGGGAGUCAGAACAUGGGUGAUAAGGUCCGUGUUCGAAAGGGAAACAGCCCAGACCACCAGCUAAGGUCCCAAAAUAUAUGUUAAGUGGAAAAGGAUGUGGCGUUGCCCAGACAACUAGGAUGUUGGCUUAGAAGCAGCCAUCAUUUAAAGAGUGCGUAAUAGCUCACUAGUCGAGUGACACUGCGCCGAAAAUGUACCGGGGCUAAACAUAUUACCGAAGCUGUGGAUUGUCCUUUGGACAAUGGUAGGAGAGCGUUCUAAGGGCGUUGAAGCAUGAUCGUAAGGACAUGUGGAGCGCUUAGAAGUGAGAAUGCCGGUGUGAGUAGCGAAAGACGGGUGAGAAUCCCGUCCACCGAUUGACUAAGGUUUCCAGAGGAAGGCUCGUCCGCUCUGGGUUAGUCGGGUCCUAAGCUGAGGCCGACAGGCGUAGGCGAUGGAUAACAGGUUGAUAUUCCUGUACCACCUAUAAUCGUUUUAAUCGAUGGGGGGACGCAGUAGGAUAGGCGAAGCGUGCGAUUGGAUUGCACGUCUAAGCAGUAAGGCUGAGUAUUAGGCAAAUCCGGUACUCAUUAAGGCUGAGCUGUGAUGGGGAGAAGACAUUGUGUCUUCGAGUCGUUGAUUUCACACUGCCGAGAAAAGCCUCUAGAUAGAAAAUAGGUGCCCGUACCGCAAACCGACACAGGUAGUCAAGAUGAGAAUUCUAAGGUGAGCGAGCGAACUCUCGUUAAGGAACUCGGCAAAAUGACCCCGUAACUUCGGGAGAAGGGGUGCUCUUUAGGGUUAACGCCCAGAAGAGCCGCAGUGAAUAGGCCCAAGCGACUGUUUAUCAAAAACACAGGUCUCUGCUAAACCGUAAGGUGAUGUAUAGGGGCUGACGCCUGCCCGGUGCUGGAAGGUUAAGAGGAGUGGUUAGCUUCUGCGAAGCUACGAAUCGAAGCCCCAGUAAACGGCGGCCGUAACUAUAACGGUCCUAAGGUAGCGAAAUUCCUUGUCGGGUAAGUUCCGACCCGCACGAAAGGCGUAACGAUUUGGGCACUGUCUCAACGAGAGACUCGGUGAAAUCAUAGUACCUGUGAAGAUGCAGGUUACCCGCGACAGGACGGAAAGACCCCGUGGAGCUUUACUGUAGCCUGAUAUUGAAAUUCGGCACAGCUUGUACAGGAUAGGUAGGAGCCUUUGAAACGUGAGCGCUAGCUUACGUGGAGGCGCUGGUGGGAUACUACCCUAGCUGUGUUGGCUUUCUAACCCGCACCACUUAUCGUGGUGGGAGACAGUGUCAGGCGGGCAGUUUGACUGGGGCGGUCGCCUCCUAAAAGGUAACGGAGGCGCUCAAAGGUUCCCUCAGAAUGGUUGGAAAUCAUUCAUAGAGUGUAAAGGCAUAAGGGAGCUUGACUGCGAGACCUACAAGUCGAGCAGGGUCGAAAGACGGACUUAGUGAUCCGGUGGUUCCGCAUGGAAGGGCCAUCGCUCAACGGAUAAAAGCUACCCCGGGGAUAACAGGCUUAUCUCCCCCAAGAGUUCACAUCGACGGGGAGGUUUGGCACCUCGAUGUCGGCUCAUCGCAUCCUGGGG